CAGCAGCCACGGGAAUACGGAGGGUGCAAGCGUUAUCCGGAUUUAUUGGGUUUAAAGGGUCCGUAGGCGGACUUAUAAGUCAGUGGUGAAAGCCUGUCGCUUAACGAUAGAACUGCCAUUGAUACUGUAAGUCUUGAGUAUAUUUGAGGUAGCUGGAAUAAGUAGUGUAGCGGUGAAAUGCAUAGAUAUUACUUAGAACACCAAUUGCGAAGGCAGGUUACCAAGAUAUAACUGACGCUGAGGGACGAAAGCGUGGGUAGCGAACAGGAUUAGAUACCCGGGUAGUCCCUGUCUCUUAUAA
rnacentral:rRNA from 1 species